GAUGAACGCUGGCGGCGUGCCUAAUACAUGCAAGUCGAGCGAACAGAUGAGAAGCUUGCCUCUCUGAUGUUAGCGGCGGACGGGUGAGUAACACGUGGGUAACCUACCUAUAAGACUGGGAUAACUCCGGGAAACCGGGGCUAAUACCGGAUAAUAUUUUGAACCGCAUGGUUCGAUAGUGAAAGACGGUUUCGGCUGUCACUUAUAGAUGGACCCGCGCCGUAUUAGCUAGUUGGUAAGGUAACGGCUUACCAAGGCGACGAUACGUAGCCGACCUGAGAGGGUGAUCGGGCACACUGGAACUGAGACACGGUCCAGACUCCUACGGGAGGCAGCAGUAGGGAAUCUUCCGCAAUGGGCGAAAGCCUGACGGAGCAACGCCGCGUGGGUGAUGAAGGUAUUCGGAUCGUAAAACUCUGUUGUUAGGGAAGAACAAAUUUGUUAGUAACUGAACAAGUCUUGACGGUACCUAACCAGAAAGCCACGGCUAACUACGUGCCAGCAGCCGCGGUAA
rnacentral:rRNA from 1 species